rnacentral:lncRNA from 15 species
AUGGAGGACUGCAGCUUCCACAGCCAGCUCCUGUCCGUCAUGGAGGUCCUGGCCAAGGCGGCCGUGGCGGAGAUAAACCGGCGUGUGGAUGACAGCUGCGCGGUGCUCCGGCUGGAGGUGAGCCAGAGCCGGCGGGACAUCGACCUGCUGCAGAGGAAGUGUGAGGUGAUGGAGGCAGAGCUGAGGAGGACCAGGAUGAGAGCCCGGAGGAAAGUGUUUUAUCCUCCAGCAGCCGAGAGGUUUUCUCCUUUAGUCAAAGUAGUGUUGCACAAAGAGAGACAGAGCACAGACUGGGACAGACAGAUGGAUGCUGAGGCUCAAAAUCAACCCCAGCAGGGUGCUGCUGAAGCUGAACACAUACUGAUCAAAGAGGAGCGUGCAGAGGAGGACAUGUGGAAGAACGACUCAGAGGACAAACUGAGUGAGUUCAAACACACACACACACACACACACACACACACACACACACACACACACACAAACUUCCUUUGCUCAUCACAUGAUAAGAAAUAUGUGCUUAAUAGAGAGUUUCUAAUUACAGACUAUGUGACAGAAAUAACCACAUUUAAAUGUGCACAUCAAGUAAGCGAUCUAAGUGUUAUAUCUUAUGGAAUGCUAUUUAAGUCAAUACAUAUAUGAGGCAAUAAGUAUAUUAAUAAAUAUAUAAACGAGUCAUUAUAGUUCAAUAAAUAAAUACUGUACAUAGGUUUUUUUUUAGCCCCUGAGACCAAACGGAGGCCCAGUUUAACUACAGAACCGAGGUGGUUUUCCUGUUGGGUUUGGUUCCUGUCACACAUCCUGCCUCAGCUCUCUGUGAUUUAUGGAGUUUACCUAAUUCACAGAUAGCUUUAACUUGUUGCUUUAGUAAGUUUCUAACUGUAGCUGCUGUUACAAGGACAGGCUUUCUCGUAACUCCCACAGAGUGUCUCUAUCCCUGAUCGGUUAGUUUCCUGUGGGCCUCCGAUUAACCGCUCUCGGGGAGCAGCACCAGGCUAAUCUGUAGCUUCAUUUUCUACACAUGG